rnacentral:rRNA from 1 species
UACGGAAGGCAGCAGUGGGGAAUAUUGCACAAUGGGCGCAAGCCUGAUGCAGCCAUGCCGCGUGUAUGAAGAAGGCCUUCGGGUUGUAAAGUACUUUCAGUCGUGAGGAAGGUGUUAAGGUUAAUAACCUUAGCAAUUGACGUUAGCGACAGAAGAAGCACCGGCUAACUCCGUGCCAGCAGCCGCGGUAAUACGGAGGGUGCGAGCGUUAAUCGGAAUUACUGGGCGUAAAGGGCACGCAGGCGGUUAAUUAAGCUGGACGUGAAAUCCCCGGGCUUAACCUGGGAAUGGCAUUCAAGACUGGUUAGCUAGAGUCUUGUAGAGGGGGUAGAAUUCCAUGUGUAGCGGUGAAAUGCGUAGAGAUGUGGAGGAAUACCGGUGGCGAAGGCGGCCCCUGGGACAAAGACUGACGCUCAUGUGCGAAAGCGUGGGGAGCAAACAGGGAUUAGAUAUC